rfam:Schistosoma margrebowiei strain Zambia genome assembly, scaffold: SMRZ_contig0014152
AUCAAGCUGACGAGUCCCAAAUAGGACGGAACAUACUUUCUGGAU